rnacentral:rRNA from 1 species
GAUUCAUUGGGCGUAAAGCGCGCGUAGGCGGCUCGGAAAGUCGGUCGUGAAAUCCUGGGGCUCAACCCCGGAACUGCGUCCGAUACUUCCGAGCUGGAGGCAGGUAGGGGAGAUCGGAAUUCCUGGUGUAGCGGUGAAAUGCGCAGAUAUCAGGAGGAACACCGGUGGCGAAGGCGGAUCUCUGGGCCUUGCCUGACGCUAGGCGCGAAAGCUAGGGGAGCGAACAGGAUUAGAUACCCUGGUAGUCCUAGCCGUAAACGUUGGGUGCUAGGUGUGGGCGGAUAUCGACCCCGUCCGUGCCGAAGCUAACGCAUUAAGCACCCCGCCUGGGGAGUACGGCCGCAAGGCUAAAACUCAAAGGAAUUGACGGGGGCCCGCACAAGCGGCGGAGCAUGCGGCUUAAUUCGAUGCGACGCGAAGAACCUUACCUGGGCUUGACAUGCAGGGUGAAGCCGGUGAAAGCCGGAGCUCUACGGAGCCUGCACAGGUGGUGCAUGGCUGUCGUCAGCUCGUGCCGUGAGGUGUUGCCUUAAGUGGCGCAACGAGCGCAACCCUUGUCCUCAGUUGCCAGCGGGUCAUGCCGGGAACUCUGAGGAGACUGCCGGUGCCAAACCGGAGGAAGGUGGGGAUGACGUCAAGUCAUCAUGCCCCUUAUGUCCAGGGCUGCACGCAUGCUACAAUGCGCGAUACAGAGGGCUGCGAUCCCGCAAGGGGGAGCGAAUCCCAAAAAGUCGCGCUCAGUUCGGAUCGGGGUCUGCAACCCGACCCCGUGAAGUCGGAGUCGCUAGUAAUCGCGGAUCAGCAAUGCCGCGGUGAAUACGUUCCCGGGCCUUGUACACACCGCCCGUCACACCACGAAAGUGGGCAACACCCGAAGCCGGUGGCCCAACCCUUGUGGAGGGAGCCGUCGAAGGUGGGGCUCGCGAUUGGGGUGAAGUCGUAACAAGGUAACC